GCGUGAGUAACCUGCCUUUCAGAGGGGGAUAACGUUCUGAAAAGAACGCUAAUACCGCAUAAGAUUGUAGUUUCGCAUGGGACAGCAAUCAAAGGAGCAAUCCGCUGAAAGAUGGACUCGCGUCCGAUUAGAUAGUUGGCGGGGUAACGGCCCACCAAGUCGACGAUCGGUAGCCGGACUGAGAGGUUGAUCGGCCACAUUGGGACUGAGACACGGCCCAGACUCCUACGGGAGGCAGCAGUGAGGGAUAUUGGGCAAUGGGGGAAACCCUGACCCAGCAACGCCGCGUGAGGGAUGACGGUUUUCGGAUUGUAAACCUCUGUCCUCUGUGAAGAUAGAGACGGUAGCAGAGGAGGAAGCUCCGGCUAA
rnacentral:rRNA from 1 species